rnacentral:rRNA from 2 species
UGGUGACUAUAGCAAGGAGGUCACACCUGUUUCCAUGCCGAACACAGAAGUUAAGCUCCUUAGCGUCGAUGGUAGUCGAACUUACGUUCCGCUAGAGUAGAACGUUCCCAGGCA